GCAAACUUGGUCAUUUAGAGGAAGUAAAAGUCGUAACAAGGUUUCCGUAGGUGAACCUGCGGAAGGAUCAUUAUUGAAUUAAAAAUUGGUCAGGCUGUUGCUGAUCCUCAGGGAUAUAAUAUAUGUGCACGCCUGCUACCAACUUUUUAUUUGAACCACCUGUGCACCCUUUGUAGAUGCUAGAUGAAUCAAUGUUGUUCUUUCGAGUGACACUUGGUUUGAAGGAUAUGCUCAGCUUUCCUUGUACAGAGUCUGGCUCUGCGUCUUUCUCAUAUACAUACACCGCAUGUCACAGAAUGUCAUUUUGGUAGGCAUGUAUUUGCCUUUAAAAAUAUGUAAUACAACUUUCAACAACGGAUCUCUUGGCUCUCGCAUCGAUGAAGAACGCAGC
rnacentral:misc_RNA from 1 species